AAUAGAGGAGCGGAUGAGCAUCAGUACUUUUGCCCCGGCGGAGAGCGGUUUUUCUCCGGCAAAAGGAAAGGGCAUCUCCGCCGAGGUACGGCAAUCCACCGCGUUGCCGCCGCCGGGCGUACGGGAGAAUACCUGUGCGACUGUCACCUUGAAAGUGGAGCACUAUUU
rnacentral:ncRNA from 1 species